rnacentral:rRNA from 1 species
AGUCUGAUGCAGCAACGCCGCGUGGAGGAUGACACAUUUCGGUGCGUAAACUCCUUUUAUAUAAGAAGAUAAUGACGGUAUUAUAUGAAUAAGCACCGGCUAACUCCGUGCCAGCAGCCGCGGUAAUACGGAGGGUGCAAGCGUUACUCGGAAUCACUGGGCGUAAAGAGCGUGUAGGCGGGUAUAUAAGUCAGAAGUGAAAUCCAAUAGCUUAACUAUAGAACUGCUUUUGAAACUGUAUAUCUAGAAUGUGGGAGAGGUAGAUGGAAUUUCUGGUGUAGGGGUAAAAUCCGUAGAGAUCAGAAGGAAUACCGAUUGCGAAGGCGAUCUACUGGAACAUUAUUGACGCUGAGACGCGAAAGCGUGGGGAGCAAACAGGAUUAGAUACCCUGGUAGUCCACGCCCUAAACGAUGUACACUAGUUGUUGUGAGGCUCGACCUUGCAGUAAUGCAGUUAACACAUUAAGUGUACCGCCUGGGGAGUACGGUCGCAAGAUUAAAACUCAAAGGAAUAGACGGGGACCCGCACAAGCGGUGGAGCAUGUGGUUUAAUUCGACGAUACACGAAGAACCUUACCUGGACUUGACAUAGUAAGAACUUUCUAGAGAUAGAUUGGUGUCUGCUUGCAGAAACUUAUAUACAGGUGCUGCACGGCUGUCGUCAGCUCGUGUCGUGAGAUGUUGGGUUAAGUCCCGCAACGAGCGCAACCCUCGUCCUUAGUUGCUAACAGUUCGGCUGAGAACUCUAAAGAGACUGCCUACGCAAGUAGGAGGAAGGUGAGGACGACGUCAAGUCAUCAUGGCCCUUACGUCCAGGGCUACACACGUGCUACAAUGGGAUAUACAAUGAGCCGCAAUACGGUGACGUGGAGCAAAUCUUAUAAAAUAUCU